CCUACGGGAGGCAGCAGUGAGGAAUAUUGGUCAAUGGACGAGAGUCUGAACCAGCCAAGUAGCGUGAAGGAUGACUGCCCUAUGGGUUGUAAACUUCUUUUAUAAAGGAAUAAAACGAGGCACGUGUGCCUUUUUGCAUGUACUUUAUCAAUAAGGAUCGGCUAACUCCGUGCCAGCAGCCGCGGUAAUACGGAGGAUCCGAGCGUUAUCCGGAUUUAUUGGGUUUAAAGGGAGCGUAGAUGGGUUGUUAAGUCAGUUGUGAAAGUUUGCGGCUCAACCGUAAAAUUGCAAUUGAUACUGGCAGUCGUGAGUACAGUUGAGGUAGGCGGAAUUCGUGGUGUAGCGGUGAAAUGCUUAGAUAUCACGAAGAACCCCGAUUGCGAAGGCAGCUUACUAAACUGUGACUGACAUUGAUGCUCGAAAGUGUGGGUAUCAAACAGGAUUAGAUACCCCUGUAGUC
rnacentral:rRNA from 1 species